UCCUUCUCGUUUUGGNGACUACUCUUAUG
rnacentral:piRNA from 1 species